AAAAAAUUUGUAGCAUAACUGGACUUAGAUCAUUUCCUUUACUUUUUUGAAUGGGCAAAUAUAAGCACAUGAGGAACAAUGUUAAUUAAUAGGAAAGUGGUGGUCAAAAGGCAAUUAAAUAUAAAAUUGUCAAAAUCUGAGUUUUGUAUGUUUGUAUUGUAUCAAUAACUAUCUUGUUUGUAGCACGUCUAGUGUGAUUGUGGUAGUACAGAGUAAAGUAAGCUGAGAUAUUACCUUUUAGUUUGUU
rnacentral:misc_RNA from 1 species